rnacentral:lncRNA from 1 species
UCCAAAUUAGAUGGUCAGGACAAUACCAGUUGUAGCAUGGAUAUUGAUGCUGGUAACCAGGAAGAGGGAAAAAAUGUUCUCCCGGCUGCUGCUACAAGUGUAGAUGUAGGGAACACACCUGUAUCUUCAGAUCAAGCUGUCUCGAAUGAAGGGAGUGAUGCGGUUCAGGCACCUGUAUCUUCAGAUCAAGCUGUCUCGAAUGAAGGGAGUGACGCGGUUCACGCACCUGUAUCUUCGGAUGAAGCUGCGUCAAAUGAAGAGAGCGGCGCGGUUCCUGAAUAAAACAUCUUCCGCAUACCUCAUCUGCAGCGGAUGUCACAAGCAUGAUGCCAAAGGUGACUACUGAACACUAGCUCGCGUGCCAUGUUUGUUUUGUUAAUUUUCGUUUUGACUCUCUGCUGGUCUGAACAUUUGUGGAAGUAAAACCUGAUAUUUACAGUUUUCUAUUGAAAAUAUGAACUUGAGGAAACAGGUCAUCCCGCUAGUGGUGCUUUUGACCUUUUUUUUAUGGGCCACGCUUCGGGUCUGGGUUUCGAAGAAGCACCCAUGUUUGACCUGAUCAUGUGGGGCAAAAUAUCACCGUCUUUUGUGGUGGUGGCUGCAGCCGGUGUUUGUGGGAUGUGGGAUUAUAACUGCUGCUGUUGCGCUGCUGGUGCUGUUCAUGUUGCUAGUGCUACUUGCGAUAUGAUUUUCAAGAUGUGGCGCUUUAGCUUUGCUCAUGUUGGUCAUGUCUGUUAGCCUCACUGGUUUCAAGAGGUUUUAAGAAUAAAAAACUGCUCCUUGUGUGUG